UACGGAGGGGGCUAGCGUUGUUCGGAAUUACUGGGCGUAAAGCGCGCGUAGGCGGCUGCCUAAGUCGGGUGUGAAAGCCCCGGGCUCAACCUGGGAACUGCACUCGAUACUGGGCGGCUAGAGUAUGAGAGAGGGAGGUAGAAUUCCACGUGUAGCGGUGAAAUGCGUAGAUAUGUGGAGGAAUACCGGUGGCGAAGGCGGCCUCCUGGACCGGCAUUGACGCUGAGGAGCGAAAGCUAGGGGAGCAAACGGG
rnacentral:rRNA from 1 species